rnacentral:misc_RNA from 1 species
AGUGUCGUACUGUCGUCGUAGGUACUCGUGACUGAAUGUGAUGUGAAGAGGUGAAGUGAAAUACAGUAAUAUAGUAGGCUUGAUUGUAAUUUGUAAUAAAUAAAUGGACAGUUGAUUGUUGAAAACGAAAGGAUAGCUGGAUAGUACAUAUCAGACAAGAUGGUUUUGUGGUCAUGGUGUUUUGUGUGUCUAUUUUGAUUGGCAAUGGUGGUUAGUGGCGGCCGCAAGGAAAACUAUACCAUCCCUUACACUAAUAACACCAAUAAUGAACAAAUGACCGAGAAUCACAAAAUGGCUGGUAAAGCAGUCUUGCUGUGCAGACCAAACUCUCAUCCCUUCCAGGAUCGAACAUUUGUGUUGGAUCAACCUGUGAAAAUCGGUCGGUCGGUGGCGAGAGCUAGACCUUCGCCAAACAAUGGCAUCUUCGACUGCAAAGUGCUCUCUCGCAACCAUGCUAUAUUCUGGUAUAGCAAUGGAAAGUUCUAUCUGCAAGAUACCAAAAGUAGUAAUGGGACUUUCGUCAACAAUCAGAGGCUUGGUAAAUCCGGAGAAGAUUCUCAACCCAGAGAGGUCUGUUCUGGGGAUAUAGUUCAAUUCGGGGUCGAGGUGUUAGAAAAUUCUAGAAAAGUUACUCACGGUUGCAUUGUUGCAAAUCUAAAAUUGUACCUGCCUGAUGGGAAAGGAGCAAAAUGCAGCCCAUCAAUUCCAGAGAUAAGCAGCAAUGAAACAGUUCCUAUCAAAGAUCUUUACAAGCUGAACCAAAAUAUUCAGGAAGCUCUUCAAAGGGAGCAUACGCUGAGGAAAAAGAUCUAUUCUCUCCAAGAGAUGAUUGCAGCUUUAAAACAGUCAGCUGAGUGUGGAUGGAAGACCCUGAUUAGCGAAGAUCGAUUACUUUCUCGAGUCGAAACUCUAGAAAACCAACUACGAAUUUACUCUAAGAACUUCUCGGAUGAUAAACUGAGAGAAGAACUAAGGAAACUUCACGAUGAUAAGAAUGUGUACCAGAGUGCAGCCAAGGAUUACCUGAGAAAAGCUUUGGAGGAGAAACUGGAAGCUGUUAAUCGAUGUCAACAACUGGAAUUGAAAUUGACUAAUCGAGAAGCAGAAUGUGCAGAACUGAAAGAAGCUAGUAGAAAAAUUCAAAAAGAAUUACAAGAUUUAGCUCAAACUCAUGGUGAACAGAUGCUGAAGUUGGAAGCACUUGAGGCUAAAUUGGAGGAAACGAUCGAACAGCAUAACGUCGAAAUCAAGCAUCUGGAAUUCCAGAACGACGAAUACAGGAUGAGCCUGGAAAAGGCGUUAGAAAAUGGACAUUGUCUUCAGCAAAGGAUAGACCAUCUGGAGUCAGUGACCGAUCUCGAUGUCCAGCAAAUAAUGGCUUUGCAAAAGCAGUUGCAGAACUCACUACCCAACCACAAUUUGAAGAAUAUGUCAGGCGCAAUAAUUGAAAAUGAGAAUGAGAAACUGAAAGAUGUUGGACUCAAUGAACUGAUAGAAUUGAGAGAGAAAUUGAAUCGACAAUUCGACGAUGAAAGGGUUAAUAAUGAAUACAUCACUCUUCUUCAUGCUCAAUUGGAAAUAAUGUCGAAAGAAAAGUUGAAGAAAAUACAAGAAAUCAACAGUAUGGAAGCAAUUGUGGAAUCGUUCAGUGAUGAUGUGAGUAACUGUCGAGAGGAGAAAAAAAUGAUUGAAGAUGUCAUCAAUUCUUUGCCUCCUAAAAUUGAGAAAGUACUUGAUUUACCAAUAGAACUUCGAGCGAGAUUAGGCAAUAGCCUCAACGAAUCUGAGCCUAUUACCAAAGAGAGUUUGUUGGAUGUCAUCUAUAGUUUGCGACUAGAUGCAAAAUUCGACGCUUGCACCAUUAUUAUAUUGAAAGAGCUACUUGCUGAAUCAAGAGCGAAAACUGAGACUGCCGAGAAGAACUUAGCAUCUAGGAAAGCAGAAGUUGAAAAUACCAAAGAGAGUCUAGCACAGGCGACAAAUGCGUACCUUAAGCAAAAUGACAGACUUCUGCAUGCUUUGCAACGGCAGAAAGAGCUGGAAACGUCAAUAAAAGUUGUCAAGGAACAAAUCGAGUCAAUGUCCUUUGUGAUGAAUGCUGAAGAGAAGAAAGAGGAGGCAUCUCUGUCCACAAACAAGGACAUCGAACAAAUUGAAUCUUUAAAACGGCAAUUGUUGGACGCGCAACAGGCAGCCAAACAAACCCACAACGAAAUGAAAUUGCUGCGAGACCGGUUGAACGAUAUGGAGAGCACUCAUCGCGAGCAAGAGCUGAGUGCCGAUCAGCUGAGAAGGCAACUUCCCAAGACCCUCGAACAACUCAACGAGGCUCACCUACAGGUCACCACGCUCAAAUCAGGCAUCCACAAGCUGGAGACUUCCAACCUUCUUUGUAAAGGUGAAGUGGAUAAGUUGAAACAACAAUUGGCUGCUGCUACUGAGAAAGUUGCACAAAUUAGAGAAGAAGAACGAGCUCAAUCUACCGGUGUUAUAGAAUCACUAGAAAAACAGAUUUGUGACAUGAGAGAAGAACUGAUUCAGUAUAAAGAACAGUAUGUUCGUGUCACUGAGGAGAAGUCUAACCUCACUAGUGAACUGCAUAAAGUUCGCACUGAAUAUGAAUCGUUAACGCAUCAUCCAUAUUUUGUACCUCUUCUGAGUCUGGUUAUUGUUAUCGUCGCCUUCUACGUUUUCAUCUCUCUCUCGAAUUAGUCAUUUUCUUCCUGAUUCUUCCCCAACCUAUAUCUUGUACUUGUAGUUACCAAUUCGCGACAUUUUUGUUUUUUUAUUUUUCGUUGGAUAAAUGUAAAUUAUAUAUAAUGACUCAUUCUCGAUCAGUGAUGUAAAAGCUAGUUAUUAAACGUAGUUUGCCCUUAAAUGAUAGUGCCUUUUCCCAAGUGCCUUCCCAAUGAGGCUAUGGCCAGCAAAGAGAAACGUUCAUGCCCAACCUAAAGCAUACAAUGUUCGCCAUGCCAUUGAUGAUUCUAAUAGUUGGCACGGUCAUCAAGUUCUACCCUUGGCUGUCAUCAGUUUUUGGAACAGCGGACAGUUCGCAACCUGACAGUUCCCAGUGAUGCUGUAUAAUCUUCAGAUAUAGCUAUGUAUAAACAGUUUAAUAAUGAGUAACUGCUCAUUCGAGUGAGCUAGUUUGUGCUUGUGCCAUUAAAUUACUCAGAUACUAUUACAGCCAUCAUACUGCCAAAGUAAACUAACAUUUAAUUGUGUAUCUUUUUAUAAUUUCGUAAAUUUUGUGAAAAAUUACUCUUCGAAUUUCGUGAUAAUGCCAGUUAGCGAUGCACGUAAAUUGAUACACAAUUUUUUGUGCACUACAACAUCUACAGUAAAAUUCACUUUAAACUAUCAGAAUGGCAGUUUGUGACAGUUGAACCCAUUAUGACAGUUAAGCGUGUAUCUCGUUGUAGAUGUUGUGUGAAACAUGCUCAUUCCUAAAUAAGUGAUGUUGUGAAUUGUUUGAGUCUUUGUUGUGCCAAAUCUCUGGGAAAAACAUUUGUUUGAGAAACGUCGGUGGUACUUAUUUUCAUAAGACCUAUGAAACAAUCUGUUCCAAGAAAGUGAGAGAUGCAAAGAUCUCACUGAAAACAGCCUUCUGUUGAUAGCUUUUUAUUCUAUGGAGGAACUUUAUCAUAGUACACUAUUUCAGUAGAACUUUAUCAUUUUAUCUGUACACAUAGCUCCAUAAAUUUCCUACAAAAUAUACUGUGGUUGCACACAGAAAAUGCAAGAAGAAAAUGAAAAGAUCAGCUCCCAAUUUAGCUAAUUUUCAAGUCCAAAGCUCUGAAUUCCCUCCAGAAAUAAUUCUGAUGGUAUAAAUAAAUUGUAUGUAUGUGUAAUAAUCUGAAUGGAAAUGAAUCGUAUAAAUCAUAUAUAUCAGCUACUAUUAUAUAUAAUUUAAGUAUAAUCAUAUCUAUGUGAGUUGGAUGCUAGAAGCAAUGAAAAACUUUCAUGGAUACCAGACAGUUUUUCUGAUAAAUUCCCAAGAACAUUUGAAGUUUUGAAUCCUUAUGUGUAGAUUGAAAAAAACUUUAACUUAGAUUUAUGAAGUGUCUAAACAGCCAUUUCUAUUCUACUUAAUUGGAUUAGAGUACAGUUUUUAAUACCUGAUUUAUGUAAAGUGAAUUAUUUCAAAAAAAUCAACACGGCGAUACAAACGAUUCACAAUGUUAACAUCCAGGAAGAGAAAUCGACCCCUCAAGUUCUAAAUGUUUUAGUGACGAAAAACACGUGUUUUUACGUGAACUUUAAAUCAUUUCAUUAUAUUUCCUCCCAAUGUCUUUGCUCUUCUGAGAACAGCUGGUCUGUAAGUUAUAUGAACUAUCACAUUAUAACAAUGUAAGGAACUGAAGACAUUCAAGAUUAUAUAACAAUAAUAAUAAUAAUAAUAAUACAUUGAACGAAAUAUCAAUUAAAUGCUAUUGCCAGCAUAACAGACAUUUUAUUUGGAUUCUCGUUCAGUUGAUCAUUCUUUUUUAAUUAUUGUUGUCUUUAGACAGUUGAAGAAGAGAAAAUAUGCAACUUGAGCUACUCUUGUAUUCAGAUUUAUAUUUUCUUAAGAAGCUAACUGAAGAAUAGAUACUUGCUCAUUAAACCCAAUAGACUAGUCUUAUGAAAUAAUGAGUAAUUCAUAAAAAUAAAGUUAUGUAAAAUAUUAUUUUCAAUUUUGACACCUGGUAAUAGCAUCAUAGUCGAAAACAAAUUUAAAAUGUUAGUUGAAAAAAUAUUAUUUUAUAUUCUAAUUAUUUUAUAUUCUAAUUAUUUCUAUAAUUUACCCACGUUUUGUAAUGCAAUACAUUCAAAAAGUAGUUUACAUUAAUACACAUUGUUGGGAAAAUAUAUUACAUUUCACAUAGGUCUAUUAAGUUUAUCAGUAUAGGUGAAUACAAAAAUGGCACGUCACAUCUUCGAUCAGUAAUUUUUUUUAAGGUUAAAGUAAUAACAAAAAGUUACAAAGCUUUAAAAAGACGUGUUUGUUUCAAGAGAUCAGAAUUUCUAGUUAUGUGUGGUUUUGAACCUUGGCGAUAGUGAUGAAAUUAGUAGGUACAAAAUGUAUGCUUUGUUAGUGGAGAAGUUAAAAAAAUUUUGUGUUCUUGACCCUCCUCCACUAACAAAACAUACAUUUUGUAACUUUGUCGAGUCAACUGUUGAAUAGAACUGAAAUGAAGUCGAAUAAAUUCAUGUCAAAGCUGUUGAAAGCUUUUUCGAAGCGAAGGUUAGAUAAAUAUGGAGAGGCGGUAAAUUCGUUCAUUGAAAAAGGAAAGAACAAGAGGAAAGGAAAAGAAAACGAGGAAAAAUGUGGAAAGUGAAGGCGUUUUGUGAAAAAACAGCCAUUUUCCAAGAAAACAAUUUUGGGAGCCUGGUGGUGGAUUUGAAAGUCACUUAAUUGUUACCAUUUCUGCAAAUAGUCUGUAUGAACACUUCUGAAGUGAUCAUAUACGUUUUGUAUGAGACACAUAUUUGGUGAUCUUUAUUUUAGUUGUCAUGCUUAUUUAAAAAAAUAAGUGGCCUUUUAACGUUCUAUGUAGAAACUCUCAAACAUUUUCAUCUUCUCUUGAGUAUAUAUCAGCGUAUAGAUUUUUUCAAAUUAUUUUCUUAUGUGAAGUUUUACUAAGACAUUCAACAAUUUAUGUUAUAAUAUUUUCAAUUUUCAACCCUAUUUAUAAACAUUUCAAGAACAGUUAGUUGGAGAUAACAAUAUUCCUCUAGCUCUCACGCACAACUGACUAUUUAUUAUAAUUUUUGAGUAUGCUGUAUUUUAAUGCUGAUCAUUAAUAUUCGAUUCAUGAUAUGAAACUAUGUCAAUUCCUUUAGUUGCUUUUAAGUAUUGUUGAAAGGCAUCGUGUGUUCAUUAAAGUUAGCUGUUAACUGAAUGAAUACACUGUAAUAUAAUUCGAAUUUUAGAAAAACUUCUAGGUAUUGAGGAAUACAGAUUCGAGCCUAAUCAAUGUUUUUUAUGUUUUUGUUUUGGAUGCCCAAUUUGUGUUAUGAUUAAUUUAUCGAAUAAAAAUUUAAUUAGUUUUGAGAGUAGAUGAAAAAAAAAUCAGUUUACAAUGUUAGAGCUUUUAAUGACAUGUAUGAUUUAAGUAGUCAGAACUUCCAGAUGAAUGUUCUAAAACCUUAGUACUUCUCUAAUUAUUUGAGGGCUGCUAAAUACUAUUUUUUAUCCGAAUUAUAUUGUUUUCAGUAUGAUUAAUCAUUCUUCCUGUUCACGUAUUUUAUAGCCUAUAUUAAUUACCUGUAGUGUGAAUAGAAAUCAUUGUAAUCAAAUCGAAUUUUUUAUAAUUAUUCACAACUUGCAAAAUUAUUCCUGUCUUUUAUUUUUUACUGAAAGCAAUGAACUACAUUUUUGAAGAGGUAUUGAAAUAAUUUUUUUGAUAAUUCUUCUCAGUUUUUUUUGAGAUGAAGGAAAAUACUGUAAUUUUAUUUACAUGAGUAUUCAUAUAAAAUAAAAAUAGAUGUAUCAUUUUGUCCUGAUGUACAUUGAAAAACUAUAAUUUAUUACGAAUAUGUUCAUAUCAAUGCUUCAAGAUUCAUUUUUCAAAAAAAUCAUUUAGUUUCCCAUUGGAUAAAUUAUUGGAAACAAUAAUUGAAAUUGAUUAAAAAAUUGUCUUAAUGUAAUACUGUGCAGCAUUAUUUGUAGUUCAUCUGACAGUCAUCACUUGAGCAUAUCUAGUUCCAACUAACUAUUGGUUGUUCUGAAUAAUAUUAUUGUAGUCUAGUUCUAUCCUAGAAUUCCUAAGUUGCAUCUUGUGCAUUUGUAUAUAAAUUAUCAAUGUAAAGUAAAAAAUGUAAUAUUUGUAUUCGCCAUAUUGUAAACGAUUUGAGUAUUAUUUAAGUUGCAAAAUUUGAGUCUGAAAUUUAAGUAGAGAUGAGUAGCAUGUUUCAAAUCGACUAAAAACACCAAAUUCAAACGCCAGCUAUUAAAUGCUUGGACAAGAUUCUUGUCUCUUUUGAUUUUGACAAUUCAAAUUCUUAAUCUUUUGCAUACAAAUUGCUUUGCUUUUAACAAUUGUAUAACGUACUGAAGUGUAAAGUUUUUUAUUAUUCAAAUGCUU